rnacentral:rRNA from 1 species
CCUACGGGAGGCAGCAGUAGGGAAUAUUGCUCAAUGGGGGAAACCCUGAAGCAGCAACGCCGCGUGAGGGAUGAAGGUUUUCGGAUUGUAAACUCCUUUUGUUAGAGAAGAUAAUGACGGUAUCUAGCGAAUAAGCACCGGCUAACUCCGUUCCAGCAGCCGCGGUAAUAGGGAGGGUGCAAGCGUUACUCGGAAUCACUGGUCGUAAAGAGCGCGUAGGCGGGAUAGCAAGUCAGAUGUGAAAUGCUAUGGCUUAACCAUAGAACUGAAUUUGAAACUGUUAUUCUAGAGUAUGGGAGAGGUAGGUGGAAGUCCGGGUGUAGGGGUAAAAGCCGUAGAGAUAAAGAGGAAUA